UACGGAGGGGGCGAGCGUUGUUCGGAAUCAUUGGGCGUAAAGGGCGCGUAGGUGGUUCUGUAUGUCUGCCGUGAAAGGGUACAGCUUAACUGUAGCUUGUCGGUAGAAACUGCAGGACUUGAGGCUGGGAGGGGCUGGUGGAAUUCCCUGUGUAGCGGUGAAAUGCGUAGAGAUGGGGGAGAACACUCGUGGCGAAGGCGGCCAGCUAGACCAGUUCUGACACUGAGGUGCGACAGCGUGGGGAGCAAACAGG
rnacentral:rRNA from 1 species